rnacentral:rRNA from 1 species
CCUACGGGUGGCUGCAGUCUGGAAUAUUCGGCAAUGGGCGAAAGCCUGACCGAGCGACGCCGCGUGCAGGAAGAAGGGCUUCGGUCCGUAAACUGCUUUUGUCAGGGACGAAUCAUGACUGUACCUGAAGAAUAAGAGGUUGCUAACUCUGUGCCAGCAGCAGCGGUAAUACAGAGACCUCAAGCAUUAUCCGGAUUUAUUGGGCGUAAAGGGUCCGCAGGUGGCUUUUCACGUCACGGGUUAAAUGUCGGGGCUCAACUCCGACACCGCUCGUGAUACGGACUAGCUCGAGCAUGGGAGAGGUACGCGGAAUUACCGGUGUAGUAGUAAAAUGCGUUAAUAUCGGUAAGAACACCAAAUGCGAAGGCAGCGUACUGGAACAUUGCUGACACUCAGGGACGAAAGCGUGGGGAGCGAAAGGGAUUAGAUACCCUUGUAGUC